rnacentral:rRNA from 1 species
UACGAAGGGGGCUAGCGUUGCUCGGAUUUACUGGGCGUAAAGGGCGCGUAGGCGGACAGUUUAGUCAGAGGUGAAAGCCCAGGGCUCAACCUUGGAAUUGCCUUUGAUACUGGCUGUCUUGAGUACGGGAGAGGUGAGUGGAACUCCGAGUGUAGAGGUGAAAUUCGUAGAUAUUCGCAAGAACACCAGUGGCGAAGGCGGCUCACUGGCCCGAUACUGACGCUGAGGCACGAAAGCGUGGGGAGCAAACAGG